rnacentral:rRNA from 1 species
AGCGAACGCUGGCGGCAGGCCUAACACAUGCAAGUCGAACGAAGUCUUCGGACUUAGUGGCGGACGGGUGAGUAACACGUGGGAACGUGCCUUAGGUUCGGAAUAACUCAGGGAAACUUGUGCUAAUACCGAAUGUGCCCUUCGGGGGGAAGAUUUAUCGCCUUUAGAGCGGCCCGCGUCUGAUUAGCUAGUUGGUGAGGUAAAGGCUCACCAAGGCUACGAUCAGUAGCUGGUCUGAGAGGAUGACCAGCCACAUUGGGACUGAGACACGGCCCAAACUCCUACGGGAGGCAGCAGUGGGGAAUCUUGCGCAAUGGGCGAAAGCCUGACGCAGCCAUGCCGCGUGGAUGAUGAAGGUCUUAGGAUUGUAAAAUCCUUUCACCGGUGAAGAUAAUGACUGUAGCCGGAGAAGAAGCCCCGGCUAACUUCGUGCCAGCCGCCGCCGUAACAC